GGUCUUCAGAACUUCAGAGCUUGGAUCGUUCGGAGUCCACAUCAGAGCUUUUAAUCUUCAAAGUGUCUGAAGUGUUUGCUACCGUUUAGAAGAACGUAGUUAAGUGCAGAAGCGUUGUGCUGGUUACUCUUGGUCUUCAACUUCUGAUUAGUAUAUCAUCUUUGAAUCAGAGUCAGAGCCUGUUUGUCACAACUUAAAAAGAC
rnacentral:lncRNA from 1 species